AGGCGCGUAGCUCAGUUGGUUAGAGCNNUAGAGCACUAGCUCGACACGCUAGGGGUCAGGAGUUCAAGUCUCCUCGUGCCUACCA
rnacentral:tRNA from 1 species